GUCUAUGGCGGGCUGUGCGAGGCACCCUCACGGGUGGCCGGUCACUCCGUCCGGUAGUUCCAACCUCGUACAGUCCGCCACCAUC
rnacentral:antisense_RNA from 1 species